UACGUAGGGACCAAGCGUUGUCCGGAAUCAUUGGGCGUAAAGAGCGUGUAGGCGGCUUGUUAAGUCUUGCGUGAAAUCUCGGGGCUCAACCCCGAGCGGUCGUGAGAAACUGGCAGGCUAGAGUGCGGGAGAGGAGAGUGGAAUUCCUGGUGUAGCGGUGAAAUGCGUAGAUAUCUGGAGGAACACCGGUGGCGAAGGCGGCAUCCUGGACCAAUUCUGACGCUGAGGAGCGAAAGCCAGGGGAGCAAACGGG
rnacentral:rRNA from 1 species